CCAUCUCUUUUUCCGUCUCUCCCUCCUGCCCUCCCUCUCUCAUUUCCCUUCUUCUCCCUCCUUUCCUCCCUCUCUCCUUCCCUCCCACCAUCCCUCUUUCCCUCCCUCCUUUUGCUCUCUUCCUCCUUCCCUCCUUCUCUCCCUCCUCCCUUCACUCUCUUUCCUCCCCCUCUCCUCUCCAUCCAUCCCUCUUUCCCUCCCUCCCUCUGUCCUUCUUUCCUCCAUCUCCUUCUCUCUUCCCUCCCUCCUUCUUUUACUCUCUCCUUUCUUUCCUCCUCUUUUCCUUCUCCUCUUCCCUCCCUCUGUCCUUCUUUCCUCCCUCUCACCCUCCUUCUUUAGCUCUCUCCUUCCUUUCCUCCUUCUUUUCCCUCUUUUCCUCCUCUCUUUUCCUCCUUCUCUCCUCUUCCCUCCCUCUCUCUCCCUCUGUCCCUCUCUUUCCAUCCCUUUCUCCUUUCCUCCCUCUCUCCCUCCCUCUGUCCUUCUUUCCUCCCUCUUUUCCUCCUUCUCUUCUUUCCUCCCUCUCUCCUUCUUUUCCUCCCUCCGUCUCUCUGGCGGUCCCCCCCAAGCGUCGCCCCCCUCAGUGUUUCCCCAGCCCCUAGGAAUGGGGGAGCCUUCUGUCCAUCCUGGUGGUCCAGAAAGGGGGGUCUGGGGGUGGCGGUAGAGGGGCUGGGGGUGGUCCCAUCCCGGAGCAGGGACGAUAACGGUCUCCCACCUUUGGAGAGGGACCUCCUCCCAGGGCCGGGGGCUGGAUUUCGAGGAGCAGCCCCUCGGCAAGGCGCUGCUGACCGGUCCGGGGGAAGGGGGGCGGGAUGGGGAGGGGUCCCGGGUGGGGGGGCGGGGCAGGCUGGGCUCGGGGGGCGGGGCGGGUGGAGCGGGCAGAGAGCGGCGGGACAAGCAUGGGCAGGCCGGGGGAGCCCCGCUGGGCACGACCCCUGCCCCUGCCCCUCCUGCUGCUGCUGCUUCUGCCCAGCCCAGGCCCCGCGGCCGGACACACGCCAGAGCCGGCCCUGCCGGGAGAGCUGGUGACCCCCCACUGGCUGGUAGGACGACAGAGCCGGAGGUCGGUCAGCCUGGAGGAUCAUGUGAGUGUUGCCCCUUCCAGGCUCUGGAUAACAAGGGGUUAACCCCCCCCCCCCCCCCCCCCCAAUCUGCCUCGUCUGCCUGCCUGCUUGCUUAUCCGCUUUCCCGUCGGUCUGCCCACCUUCCUGCC
rnacentral:lncRNA from 1 species